UGACGUAACGAAGUUGCCUUAAUUAAAAGGAGUAACAAGGUUAAUGUCAUAGUUCAAUUGGAUAAAUGAAUACUUUAUUUCAUGUUAUUUAUAAUCGUUAAAUAUGGCAUGAUUUAAUACAGUUUGUUUUACAUCUUGGGCCGAUAUGCGUAUGUGUUUCUUGUGCCUAGGAACUAAUGUUUGUUCAUGUGCUGGUACUGCGUGUUUUGCUGUUACACUGUACAACUCCAUGUGGGUUGACGUCUUUUUGAAGCUCUGCUGAGGUCUGUGAUAAAGUUUAGUGUGACGGGAGGUCUGUGAUGAAGUUAUGCAGAAAAGGAACUAAAUUAAUCUCCUUUCACGACAAGCGGCCAACGAGUUCUCACGGCGUAACGGAAGAGGGAAGGCUACAGGAUGAAAACUCCCAAGAAAUAAACGCCCGUUUUAAAGAACCGACCUGUGUCUGUGUCGUGAAAAGAGCUACAGUGAGAACUCGCCUGCUCAGCGCGGGUGGGAAAGACAACGAGACUGGAGCGAGAGACGACGCUGCGUUCAAGGACCAUCCAGCACAUCAGAGAAGCAACGCCAGCGGUGCACUGUCGGCAUGACGACCGCAAGCUACGGUGAUUAGACUGUGUCAAAGUCGCAACAUUUCAGGAUAAAGCCAGGAAGUGCUCUACCACAUCCUUCAAGUUAAAGGUGGUGUGAGAAGUGGUUAAUCUGGAAAUUGCAAAUAAGGACUCAGGUCUAUCAUCUAUGCUAAGCCUAUGCUGGUGAUGAAGCUAAUGUGUUGGUGUUCAUGAAUGGUACAUGUCAAAGGGUUUAAAGACGAAAAUUAAUCAUAUAAGAAAGUAAAGAAAUUAUAAGUUAAUAUUAAAGAAAGAAGAUAUUAUUUAUAAGUUCAAGUUAAAAAAGAAGAACGUUUUCACAUUUUAUGAAAGGUAUUACACUUAAAGGACCAUUUUUACUUGAGCUUUAAAGGGUCAUUCCACUAACAAAAACAUUUUCUUUGUAAAGUAUAAGUGAUGUAAUGCCUUUCUAAGCAUAUUUCACUACAUUUAAGGUUUAUUAGUAACAAGCUAAAUCUUAUUCUUGUUGUUAUUUUGUUGUAAAGCUGAGGUCAAGUUAAACUUGUUAAUGAGUGCAUACAUUUGAUAACCUCACUGAUUACUUAUGUAUACAUUCAGAGAUCCAAUUCAAGCUUAGUAGUUACACAUGCUCUAUUACAGUCGGUUAUAAGUUAUUAAGUCAUCUCAAAAUGUCAGAAGCAGGGACUGAGACCUGCCACAAAAAUGCCAAAUCAUCUGCUCAACUUGAAACAACAGAAACAGAGUUGGCAGAAGAAGUGGAAGAGCUACGAAGAAGUGAAAGAAAUCGAACACUAACAGAAAAAGGAAAAGAACUCCAAGCUGAAAAGUUGAAAAGUGUACAACGUCACUACAGAAUCGUCUAUGAGAAAUGGAGGUACCAUGUGAGAAUAGGCAAAGAAAUACUGAAUGAUGACGCCUCCAAGGAUGAAUUGAGAGAGCUUAUUGCAAAUAUAAAAAGCUCUUGCUCAGAUGUAAAAGCCUUGUAUGAAGAGUUACGUCUCAUACAUACUCCUGAACCGAACCUGCGACGCAGAGUUGAUACAUGCAUAUCACUCUCAGGAUUUAUUAUUCGAAAGGCAGAGAGACAGCUUGAAGAGAAUACAGCAGACUUAAAGGAAGAAUCUUGGCCCAAUGUUGGAUCUGUUCUAAACUCAACUGACUCUUCAUUAUCUCCACUGUCUUGUCGAUCAAAGUGUAGCUCCGCUCAUUCUAGUCUUCUCAAAAGAUUUGAAGCUGCAGCUGAAGCCGCUGCAUCUCAGGAAGUCCUAGCAGUUUUAGGUGAACAAGAAAAGGAAGCAACAGAACUUCAAAGGCUGGAGACUGAAGAUAAAAAACAGAUGGCACAAUUUGAGUUCGAAAGGCAAGCCAGACUUCAGGCAAUGCAAGAAAAGCGCAGAAAGCUUGAACGCCUAGAAGAGGUUAACAAGCUGAAAGCCGCAAGAGCUCGAGUCAAGGUGUACAAUCGAAUGGAAGAAAAUUAUGAAGCAAUCGACUCACUGUAUGAUGUUGAACCAGCUAGAGAAACCCAAGCUCUGUACUCCACAACUCCACCAUUCGUUUAUCAGUCUCAGCCAGUAACGGCACAAGUCAUCAAUGCUUCAAGUCCUCCGUUCAUACCUCAACCUCUACAACCUGCAAGUCAAGCUUAUAGUCUCCACAGUCCACAGCAAGUACCACAAGCUCUACCAACCUCAAUGCCCUUAGCUCAGAUGCAGAAUAGUGCUGACUUGGUUAAAAAUACUAGCAGAAGCAAUAAGUGCAAAUCACCUUCCAACACCAGAGCCUGCAUUAUUCACAGGAGAUCCUUUGAAAUUCAAAGACUGGCAACUAUCCUUUGAAACUUUAAUAGACAGGAAAAACAUUCCAAAGAAUGAAAAACUGUAUUACCUUAGAAAGUACAUAGGAGGUGCUGCAAAGAAAGCAGUAGAAGGAUUCUUCCUGUUAGGCACCGAAGCAGCAUAUGACUCUGCCUGGCAGCUGUUAGAAAAACGUUUUGGAGACCCAUUUAUUAUUGGGAAGUCCUUCAGAGACAAGCUACAUGGAUGGCCAAAGAUAAGCUCUAAAGAUGGCAGCGAACUAAGAUAAUUUGCAGACUUCCUUAAGAGCUGUGAGGCUGCAAUGCCCCACAUUAAGACAUUAGAAGUACUGAAUGACUGCAACGAGAGUCAACAAAUAUUGAUGAAACUGCCAGAUUGGUUGGUAUCCGGCUGGAACCGAAAAGCAAUGGAGGCCAGACAUGCAAAUGGUGGUUACCCACCAUUCAAAGUGUUUGUAGAUUUCAUAUCAAAGGAAGCAGAUCUCGCAUGUGAUCCCAUAUCCUCGAUACAAGCUAUCAGGAGUGUCGAAAGUGAAAAAACAAAGAAUCCAAGAAGCCAAACUAUUCAAGCAAAGACACUGUCCACAAACACAACACAAAGUAGCAUCCCAACAUGCAUCCUUUGCAAAGGAACAGGACACGUCCUCCCAAAGUGUAGAAAGUUUGUAGAAAAGACAGUUGAAGAUCGCAUCAAGUUUGUGUAUGCAGAAAGGCUAUGCUUUGGAUGUUUGAAUACUGGUCAUCAGUCAAAGGCGUGCAAUGACAAAAGCACAUGUGAAAAGUGUCAGAGGAGACAUCCAACGUGUUUGCAUGACGACAAGUUCAAAGGCAAAAUGUCAACUACCUUUUAAUGGAGACGACAUCUCAAUGGACAAAACAGACACCAAAGAAAUCGCUGCAACCACCAACAGAGUCAUACAAGAAGGCCCAAGCACACAAACGUCCGCAAUCAUACCAGUCUGGGUCUCAUCCACAAAACAGCCAGAACAAGAAGUUCUUGUCUACGCACUCUUGGACACACAGAGUGACACGACUUUCAUUCUAGAUGAAGUGGCCCAAAAUCUUGACACAAACAAAGAAAAUGUUCGUUUGCGGCUAUCUACAAUGUCAACAAAGUCAACAGUCAUACCCUGUCAGAAACUGACAGAACUUCAAGUGAGGGGAUACGACCUGGAAAAAAUGAUUCCUUUGCCACCUAUUUUCACAAGAGAGUUCAUUCCAGUUGACAGGUCACACAUUCCUACCUCAGAGACAGCUCUAAAAUGGCCACAUUUGGAACAGUUGGCAGACAAGAUUCCACCACCAUUGGAUUGCGAAGUAGGUCUUUUAAUCGGAUAUAACUGUCAGCAAGCCCUUCUUCCAAGAGAGAUCCUAUCCGGUAAAGACAAUUAUCCAUAUGCACAGCAGACGGAUCUUGGCUGGAGUAUCGUCGGUUGCUCGAAUCCAGCAAAGGAUUACUGUGACACAAUAGGAACUAGUCACAGAAUCGUAGUGUGACAAGUAACACCUGCUGUCCAGCCAGCAAUUCAGCUGAAGAGAGAAGUACACUUUGUGUGCAAAACUCAAGUCAAAGAGAUCCAUCCAACAGACAUACUCAAGGUUCUCGAGUCGGAUUUCACUGAACACACUACAGAUGAUAACCAAGUGUCUCAGGAGGACCUUCUCUUCUUGUCUAAAGUGAAGGAAGGUAUCCGCCAAAGAGAAGACGGCCACUAUGAACUCCCUCUUCCCUUCAAAUCGGAUAACCCUCAUCUCCCUGACAAUAAACGAUCUGCAGUUCACAGACUGAUCUCAUUGGAAAGACGACUAAGGAGAAAUGAACAGUAUUACAAGGAUUACGUUCAUUUCAUGAAUGACAUAAUAACCAGAGGCGAUGCUGAGAAGGUUCCAGAGUCUGAACUCAACAACCAAAUAUCAUGGUACAUUCCGCACCACGGAGUCUACCACCCCCACAAACCCGGACAAAUCCGUGUGGUUUUUGAUUGUUCAGCACGUUUCCAAGAAACCUCUCUAAACGAUCAUCUCUUGACUGGUCCCGACCUGACAAACACGCUCAUUGGAGUGUUAUGUAGAUUUAGAAAGGGUCCGGUAGCCAUAAUGUGCGAUGUUGAACGGAUGUUCCACCAAUUUCAUGUCACAAAGGAACACCAAAACUACCUAAGGUUUCUCUGGUGGGACAAAGGCGACCUGGACUCAAAACCUUCAGUAUAUAGGAUGAGAGUGCACCUGUUUGUAGCAGCGUCAUCCCCUGGCUGCUCCAACUUUGGAUUCAAACAUCUGGCAUCCCAGGAUCAUGGGAAGUUCAGUGAAGAGUCCAUCAAGUUUAUACAGAGAAGCUUCUAUGUGGACGAUGGCCUAAUAAGUGUAAGGUCACCGGCUGAAGCCAUCUGUCUUGUUGAAGAGUCAAGAGCCUUGUGCAGAACAGGAAAUCUUCGUCUUCACAAGUUCGUAUCCAACGACAAAGAGGUGAUUGCUGCAAUACCACCUGAAGAACUUGCCAAAAACAAGGAUCUAGACUUAACUCUUGGAGAACUUCAUAUUGAGCGAGCACUUGGAGUUCAGUGGUGUGUUGAAGCAGAUGAAUUCCAAUUCAGAGUUGUGGUUAAGGAAAAUCCACUGACAAGGAGCGGAGUUCUCUCAACCGUUGCCUCUGUCUUUGAUCCUCUUGGAUUUGUGGCCCCCUUUGUGCUCCUCGGAAAACAAAUCCUUCAGACUCUAUGUCGGGACAGAGUGAGCUGGGACGAAGCUCUCCCUGCUCAUAUCCUGCCACAAUGGGAGUCAUGGCUUAGAGGUUUAUCUCACUUGGCAACCCUAAAAAUUCCAAGAUGUUAUCUUCCAUCAAGCUUUGGCGAGGUCAAACAAUAUGAACUGCAUAACCUUUCAGAUGCAAGUACCAACGGCUACGGUGCAUGCUCUUACCUCAGAGCUAUAAGCAAAACAGGUCAGAUCAAUUGCUCACUCAUCAUGGGGAAGGCAAGAGUAGCCCCUACCAAACUAACGACUAUCCCAAGACUUGAGUUGUCGUCAGCUGUGACUUCAGUACGCAAUGGUGAUGUCAUCAAACGCGAGCUGGAGAUUGAAAACCUGCAAGAAUAUUACUGGACUGACUCAAAGGUAGUCCUUGGUUACUUGAACAACAAUGCCAAGAGGUUCCACACGUUUGUUGCCAACCGUAUCCAGCGCAUAAGAUCUAGCACCAACCCUGAACAAUGGCGACAUGUUAGCUCUGAAAAUAACCCAGCCGACUACGCCUCAAGGGGGCUGAGCGCAGUUCAGCUCAAAGAGUCUAACUGGCUAAAAGGACCUGACUUUCUUUUCCAGCUGAACCUUCCAUGUGAAGAGAAGGUGAGAGCAGUGGAAACAAACGAUCCUGAACUUCGCAAAGUUCAUGUUCACAGAGUCAAAACUAAGGAAGAAAAUUCACUGUUGAACCGCUUCUCUAAGUUUUCUGACUGGUCCAGGACAGUGAGAGCUGUCGCAAGACUCAAGAGAUUUGUCAGAGAAUCCAGGAGACUUCAGCCAAGAACUAAUGAAGCAACUAACCUUGCAGAAAGAAGAGAAGCAGAAAUCUUUAUUAUCAAGCUGGUGCAAGAAGAGGCCUUCACCGAAGAAAUUAAAACAGUUCAGCUUCAAAAGGGAAGCACCUUGAACAAGCACAACAAGCUACACCUGUUGAAUGCCUUCCUGGACAAGAACAAUGUUCUUAGGGUGGGAGGAUGGCUAUCUCAAUCAGCCUUACAUCAUGACAUAAAACAUCCUGCAAUACUUCCGAAGAAAGCUCAUGUGUCCGCCUUGCUCGUCAAACAUCAUCAUGAGCGUGUACAUCACCAAGGAAGAGGCAUGACAAUGAAUGAGUUACGUGCGAAUGGAAUAUGGAUCCUGGGAUGUGGAAAUGUAGUUUCAUCACACAUCUACAAGUGUGUAAAAUGUAGGAAAUACAGAAGAACCACAGAGACUCAACAAAUGGCCGAUCUGCCAGAGGACAGAACUGAGACAUCCCCUCCGUUUACUUACUGCGGUAUAGAUUGUUUUGGUCCCUUUAUUGUGAAGGAAGGAAGAAAGGAGGUAAAACGAUAUGGAUUGUUGUUUACCUGCCUAUGCUCCAGAGCGGUGCAUAUAGAGACGCUAGACGAUUUGACGACAGAUGCCUUCAUGAAUGCACUUCGAACAAUGGUAGCAAUCAGAGGACCUGUGCGCCAAUUACGAUGCGACCAAGGAACAAACUUCAUUGGUGCCAGGAGGGAGUUUUCUGAGUUGCUCAAAGGAAUGGAUCAGGAACGUCAACGAGCAAUUGAUUGCGAAUUUGUAAUGAAUGUUCCUUCAGCAAGCCAUAUGGGAGGAGUCUGGGAACGCCAAAUCAGAACGAUUCGAAGCAUUCUGACAGUCAUGUUAGACAAGUCUGCAAGCAGACUAGACACCACAACUCUGAGAACAUUCCUUUACGAAACAAUGGCAAUAAUUAACAGCAGACGGUUAAGUGUUGAACACCUCCACGAUCCUACUGGUCCAGAGCCUCUCACUCCCAACCACAUAAUAACCAUGAAGUCAUCAGUUAUUCUGCCCCCUCCUGGAGAGUUCUGUAAAGAAGACCUCUAUCUGCGCAAGAGAUGGAGAAGAGUGCAGUUCUUAGCCAAUGAGUUCUGGCGAAGAUGGAAACGAGAAUACCUGCUAAACCUCCAACAGCGGCAGAAAUGGCCAAAGGCAUCACAAAAUUCACAAGUAGAUGACAUUGUCAUUCUGCGAGACGACAACCUACCAAGAAAUGAGUGGAAGCUCGCCAGAGUUGUAGAAACUCACCCUGGAACAGACGGCUUGGUGCGAAAGCUAAAGUUACUAGUCAGUAACACUACACUUGAUAAAGGAAAACCACACACUAGAUUAGUCUACCUCGAAAGACCUAUUCAUAAGGUAGUCACCUUACUUCACGCCACUUAAGUCCCAUACAUGAGAGUAUAGUCAUACACACUGAAAACACUUGACUGUUUCUUUGCAUUUUGUUUGAACGAAAUCCCACAUUUGAGUUAAUGAGUGAUUUGGUGGGAGUGUAAAUGAUGUAACGAAGUUGCCUUAAUUAAAAGGAGUAACAAGGUUAAUGUCAUAGUUCAAUUGGAUAAAUGAAUACUUUAUUUCAUGUUAUUUAUAAUCGUUAAAUAUGGCAUGAUUUAAUACAGUUUGUUUUACAUCUUGGGCCGAUAUGCGUAUGUGUUUCUUGUGCCUAGGAACUAAUGUUUGUUCAUGUGCUGGUACUGCGUGUUUUGCUGUUACACUGUACAACUCCAUGUGGGUUGACGUCUUUUUGAAGCUCUGCUGAGGUCUGUGAUAAAGUUUAGUGUGACGGGAGGUCUGUGACGAAGUUAUGCAGAAAAGGAACUAAAUUAAUCUCCUUUCACGACAAGCGGCCAACGAGUUCUCACGGCGUAACGGAAGAGGGAAGGCUACAGGAUGAAAACUCCCAAGAAAUAAACGCCCGUUUUAAAGAACCGACCUGUGUCUGUGUCGUGAAAAGAGCUACAGUAACGUUGUGAUACACUUCAAUUAAUGAUAACUACGGAGAUUGCUAACAGCAAGGCACAAGGCUACUU